ensembl:lncRNA
GGGAGAUAAGAAGAGGGGAGGGGGGAGGGGGAUACUUCAGGGCUGUAGGGGAGAGUGAGUGUAGUAUGAAAGGUGAUUUAACCCAACAGAUAUAGCUUACAGGCACCACCACCACGCAAACACCCAACAGACAGACCGUAUACCAGAGAAGUGUGCCCACCCUCUUAGCCACCAUGCUGCACCCUCUUAUGAUUGGCAUCGUCACCGUGAACACUAGCAUGACGGUCAUCUACUGGGCUUUCCUGUUCGGGGAUUUCUACCUGAGGUGGAUGGCCGAAGCAGACGACAAGCCCAAGGACACAGUCAGCCCUGCAUGAGGAAUACCUUCUGGGACUGAAAAACAAGGCAGCUUUCCUGUAGAACAAAGAAUUGAUUUUAGUGCUUGGCAGUGGACUUUUGUUUUUGGUUUUUCUUGUUUCAUCAAAAUUGGCAAGUUUCUAGUUUGCUAUAGUUUACAGUAUUCUAUGUUUGUACUGAAUGGAAGGAUUUCAGCCAAACAAUGAGGAAGGAGUCACACCAACAGCCAAGCACCGGACACCUCAGGUCCUGAUCCCAGUGUUAGCAGUUCCAACGUAAAAAGGAGCUGGGCAAAACAAUUUUUCUUCAACCCGAACACAUUUCAUCAGGCAGCAGCAGAGAAAGUGCACAAGAUAAAGUGAGCGAAAGAUAAAGAGAGCGAGAGAGCGAGCGAGCGAGAGAGAGAGAGAGAGAGAGAGAGAGAGAGAGAGAAAGAGAGAGAGACUCUAAAUGCCCUAAAGGUCCAGGUCUCUCGGCCCUGGUACCGAAUCAGGCCACUCUCUCGUCACACUCUUCGAGUCGGGACCCUCCUGGGCCCUAACCAUGGAUCUGCUGCGACCCACUUCCGCCCCGGGGUCCCGUGGGGCGGUCCUGGUGGCCAACCUCACCCGGCUGGUGGUGCUGGAGCACCGCAGGCUCCUCCAGAUCUCCCAGAGGGCCACGGAGGAGCCCUACUUCAUGGACUACAUCCCCCCGGCCAGAGACGCCAUCGCUCUUCCGCGCUACGUGGCGUACAUCCUGGUGGGGUUGGUGCUGGUGCUGGUGGCCACCUACGCUAUAGUGGGCCACCUGAUUAACGACCUCAUUCAUGACCUGGCAGACUGCGUCCUUGGCCCCAAAACAUUGGAUGACGAGGACGUAGAAGCUGAGGGCGUGGACGUGGGGGAAGAGCACUGCAUUAGCACACACAGACGGGUGGAGAUGGAGGAGGUGGAGGAGCGGGAGGAGAGAGAGGGGCUGCUGCCGGGGUCUCGCCUGCGUGAGGAGGCAGGAGCUAGCCCUGCACCGCGAAGCGCUUUGGCAUGCAGCUCUAGAGAAACAAGGACUUCUGCUCAUAAUGUGGUGUUCUCCUGCCCAGUCCUCCCUCAUGGCACAUCUCUCUAAGUUGUGGGAGGGUUAGGGUGUAGCAAUGGGUCUCUUGUUUGAUUUCACUGGUUCAGAUCUCCACUGCAGGCAUUUGUCAACGCAAAAUGGUAAUGAUCUCACAUAAAGGUUACUUCUGUCUUGUACUGUUGAUGUAGUGUUAAUAUGCUAACAUGAUAUUUAUCAGCCAUUUAGUUUGGUUUGGCUUCCCCUGGCUUGGUACUUAAAAUGCGAGAAUAGAUUCUGGGCAUCGUGCUAAGCAGUAGCACUUGAAGGUAAUUUAACUUGAACCAAUUUUCUAAAUGAGACCUCAUUCUAAUUUAAUUUCACAUUUAUUUUUUCACACCUAUUUUCACACCUUAAAAAGGAAAAGCUGUUUCAAGAAGAAUCCAGUGUUUUAUUUUUUUUCUACUAGAAAACAUUGUAGUUCUGUUUCACAUUAUGUGAGGAAAAAACGUGGUGAUUAUUACCUGUUCGGGUCAAUAAAUGUGAAAUAAGUUGUUGUGAGAGUCAACCAGAAAGGUUAUCAUAUUUAAAUAAAAUAUUGCUGUUAGGUGUCUUUUAAUCAACGUAUCCUGGAAUGUUAUCGAGAUGUCACACAAUGCAUUUCUCCAGUAAAGAAUUGAC